UAAGGAAUAUUGCUCAAUGGGAGAAAUCCUGAAGCAGCAACGCCGCGUGGAGGAUGAAGGGUCUAUGACUUGUAAACUCCUGUAAAGAAGGAAAAAAUUCCCAUUUGAUGGGAGAUGAUGGUACUUCUGGAGUAAGCCCCGGCUAACUACGUGCCAGCAGCCGCGGUAAUACGUAGGGAGCAAGCGUUGUCCGGAUUUACUGGGUGUAAAGGGUGCUCAGGCGGAUUUGUAAGUCAGAGGUGAAAUCUCACAGCUUAACUGUGAAACUGCCUUUGAUACUGCAAGCCUAGAGUAUGGAAGAGAGUGAUGGAAUAUCUGGUGUAGCAGUGAAAUGCGUAGAUAUCAGAUAGAACACCAAUGGCGAAGGCAGUCACUUGGUCCAUUACUGACGCUAAAGCACGAAAGCGUGGGUAGCAAACA
rnacentral:rRNA from 1 species